CGGAGCCCUGCUCCUCCCCGCACAGCAGGUUUACAUGGAACCUGGAAGAGGGGGAUGGUGGCCGUCAGGGCUCAGAAACCACCCAGACCAAGAAAUGUUGAGGGGCCUGGGGCCUCACCUGCUGGCAUUGGGAGGAACCAAGCCGCGAAUUCUCAGCACCGUGCCAGGGCGGAUGCCCUCGGGCAGUGAGGACUUGUGGGGGACGUUCUGCAAGAGUGGGGUGCAGGGGCCACUGUGAGCCGGUGAGACCGAAGGAGGGAGGCAGAAGACAUGUUGGGUCCUGAGAAGCCAAGCCCAGCGGGAACUCUAGACCCUUCUCUCCAGCUGAGAACCUCCUGCCUAGACUGGAAAUGUCUGCGCUGAAAUCCCUGCUUCUAAGUCUCCAGUGGAACAGCAGCCACAACAACGACGAUAGUGCCAGACAGGGGGACUUCACAGGGUCGGAGGGCGGCCUGGUUGGCUCAGUGCUGCACCCCUGGGUCCUGGAGUGUGCCGGGUUCAUGGGAAGUCCUCAGUCAGGAGGGGUGAAAGGAGGGGAUCCACUAGGACUACGCUUGUCAUUUCCCAGGCCCUUGGGCUGCCCAGGAUAUGCAGGAAAUCACUGAUUGGGACCCCACCAUUCCAACAGAGAGAAGCAUGGGUCACCCCCAUUGUACAGAGAAGGAGGCUGAGGCUGGGAUGGGAAGUGAUUUUCCACAAGCCGGGCAGGACCCAUUGCCCCAACCUCUGCCUUUCCUCACCUCUGGGCGUGCCUCUCCUGUGGGUUCUGUCUCUGGGGCUGGCUGUCUGGCUCUGUUUGUCUCUGUCUAUAACUGUCUACCGCGUAUUCCUGUCCCACUUCUCUCCUUCAAGUCUCUCUUGUUCCUCCUUCCAGGACUGUUACCAUCUUCCCACCAAUUUUGCAGGUCAGGAUGAGGUGGGUUUUAGGGUGGUGGGUGGCCUAGCAUUCCAUCACCACCUAGAUCAAAAGCAGAGCAAGGUGGGGACCCUCCCGCCAGCCCCAAUAUAGCCCGCUUGGGCCCAAGACUCUAGAAGAGAAUCCAGGGUUGGGGAAGUAGACUGGGGGAGGCGGGGGGGGGGGGGGGGGCGGGCAGGACUGAAAUCUGUUUCUGAAAGGCAGGGAUGGUGUGGGAGCUGAACAGAAACCACUCCUGGCUGGGCAUGGUAGCUCACGCCUGUAAUCCCAGCACUUUGGGAGGCCAAGGUAGGUGGAUCACUUGAGGUCAGGAGUUCAAGACCAGCCUGGCCAACAUGGUGAAACCCCUUCUCUAUAGAAAAUACAAAAAAUUGGCCAGGUGUGGUGGUGGACACCUGUAAUCCCAGCUACCUGGGAGGCUGAGGCAGGAGAAUUGCUUGAGCUGGGGAGGCGGACGUUGUAGUGAGCCGAGAUCACACCACUGCACUGCAGCCUGGGCGACAGAGCUAGACUCUGUCUCAAAAAAUAAAAAUAAAGCCUGUAAUCCCAGCACUUUGGGAGGCCGACGCGGGUGG
rnacentral:lncRNA from 1 species